AGGUUAGCUGAGGACAUUCCCAAGCCAAAGGCCACCUGAUCUCAGGUACCAUAAGUUUUGGGUCCCGGUAGUUGAAGGAACAGUGCACACUCAGAGCCAAAGACUGAUUACUUCCCCACAGAAAAUUUACCAAGUCAGAAAAUAAUGUAGGAAAAAAGUCUCACAACAGCCCUACAAAGUGAGAGCUGAGAAGUCUCUGGGCUCUGGUUUGCUCAUGCUUGCAGAAGAAAUAUUUUUGACCUGAAGCUGUGAAGUCAAAUGUGUUUGCUACAAGACCACUGCAACAACAGGAAAUCACCACUGACAGGAUGCCUGGUUAGAAGCGAAACCUCAGCCCUGUGUGACCCUUGUCCUGCUUUGGAGAAGAGCAGUGACAGUUUGCUGAGUCUGGAAACACAUUUCUCUUAUCUCCAGGGCGAGCACAGUGACUGUUGCCUGCUUCCACCAUGAAGGACUAUCAGUGCUGUUCCGUCUUGGUUACAGACAUGACUAAUCCCUCUUACUGCUUUUUCUUUUUUUUCCCCAGAACUGCCAAUUGAGCUUUUUCUAUGAUCCUUCUCUAAUAUGUUUAAAUCAAAUGGAAGUAGGUGACUAUAAACUAGCCCUACUAGCAGGUAUACUCAGUGCAGCAGAAAUGUGUUACAGAGAAAUUGUGAGUCAGGUGGAAAAGCAGCAUAGAGCUUCAGACAGGAGGGAAUUUACAUGUACUGGAGACAGAUAUUUGCCUUGGCUUCCUGUUCACUUUAUAUCUGAUUCCCUCUUCAGCCCUUUGUGGGGUGAUCAAAACUGUGAAGACUGCUACUGUUGCUUUCCUCAGCAAACCAGCCCUUCAGAGCAGGAGCAAUUCCAUUCCAUGAGUCUGUACCUUCUCCAUGGAACUGGGGUUUUCCAACAUGUUUGUAACAGCAAAGCAACUGUUCCAGGAGUGUGUAUACUCUUUUUAAAAAAUAAUCUGAUUUUUGUGUCUAUUUUACUUGUUCUUUAGAAAUCAUGUGGAUUUCAUAGAUGAGAGUGUAUGAUUGAUCAUAAACUAAUAUUUUUUUUUGCUUUGGACAAAUAUUUAGUCCUCUUUUUUCCCUUGUCAAAUUUUCAUUUCAUUUUUGACAGGUUUGUUGUUUCUUUUAAAUCUUCAUCUAAUUCUAAAAUAAAUAGUUGCUUUUUUGGUGAAUUUAACCUGAUUUGUAUUAUGUCUAUAAUUCAAAUUUAUUUUCUUAUUUUCUAAGGCAUAGGCUAUUUUAGCAACUGCUGUAGUUAAUUGAUACUUGGUGUUCCUCCUCCUUAUCUAUAUUUCACUCUUACCUCUGAAGGUAUGCAAUGUAUCUACAUAUAUAUAAUAUAAUUUUUGUUCAGUACUAUAUGUAUAUAUUCUAAGUUUUUAAGAACAAACAAUUAAUUUGAAGAUUACAACUCUAAUGUUAGAGGGAUGUAUCACAGCUCUGUUUUGAAGCUGACGGGUCUCUCUGCUUCUGAGACAUUCCAAUUCUUCUUGUGAUAGACGCAGUGAAAUAAAUGGUUUGUGCCAUCUACUGGUGCCGGUGGGAGCUGCGCGUCAGCUCGGAACCGGGACGGACUCAAGCGUGCAGUGUGGGAAAAGAGGAAACCUCUCUGGAGAUAAAGACAUAAAAUAAUAAACAGCAAUCUAGUUAAGUGCUAACUAAUAUUAAACAUGUGCUAAUUAGCUCACGCAUUAACCCAUUUCCCACUCGUGCCUUCCCAAGCGUGCCCUACAACUUCAUCCCCAUUUUUAAGGACUCUGAAAGCAUUUUGUUUUGCAGGUAGGUCAGUGUUGUUUUAACAGAGUGGAACAGUCCAAGCUGAUGGUGUAGAGUGUGCUAUUAAUGUGAACAUGGUUUGUCUAAACCUGUUACUCUUUCUGUAAUCAUUCCUAAUUACAAUGUAUGUCAUGAUCGCUUAUA